rnacentral:rRNA from 1 species
GGGUGCGAGCGUUGUCCGGAAUCAUUGGGCGUAAAGCGCGCGUAGGUGGCCAUUUAAGUCCGCUGUGAAAGUCAAAGGCUCAACCUUUGAAAGCCGGUGGAUACUGGAUGGCUAGAGUACGGAAGAGGCGAGUGGAAUUCCUGGUGUAGCGGUGGAAUGCGCAGAUAUCAGGAGGAACACCAAUAGCGAAGGCAGCUCGCUGGGACGUUACUGACACUGAGGCGCGAAAGCGUGGGGAGCGAACAGG